rnacentral:rRNA from 1 species
AAACGAUUAAAGUCAGUCGUACCGAUGGGUAAUCAGCCUUUUGGGUGCGAUUAUGUGGUAUGUGGAAAGAUUUCACGAUUGCAUAUUUGUGCCUUUUGGGUGUAUUUGCUCGUAUGGUAGGUUAACAUCAAUUUCGGGCAUCAUAAAAUGACGGGAGGAAUGUGGCUUCUCCGGAAGUGUUAUAGCCUCUGGUAGAUGUGAUGACCGGGAUUGAGGAUUGCAACGAAUACUCUCUGGGCUACCUGCCUGGUCUCUGGUCGUCGCUUUGGUGCCGAAAGCGUGCUUACGGUAUUAAAGUAGGUGGUCAAAAGGUUAGAACGGGUUAAAUUCGUUAAGGAUGUUGACGUAAUGACUUUAAACGA